rnacentral:rRNA from 1 species
CCUACGGGAGGCAGCAGUGGGGAAUUUUUGGACAAUGGGCGCAAGCCUGAUCCAGCAAUGCCGCGUGAGUGAAGAAGGCCUUCGGGUUGUAAAGCUCUUUUGUCAGGGAAGAAACGGUGGUUCCUAAUACGGACUACUAAUGACGGUACCUGAAGAAUAAGCACCGGCUAACUACGUGCCAGCAGCCGCGGUAAUACGUAGGGUGCAAGCGUUAAUCGGAAUUACUGGGCGUAAAGCGUGCGCAGGCGGUUAUAUAAGUCAGAUGUGAAAUCCCCGGGCUCAACCUGGGAACUGCAUUUGAGACUGUAUGGCUAGAGUGUGUCAGAGGGGGGUAGAAUUCCACGUGUAGCAGUGAAAUGCGUAGAUAUGUGGAGGAAUACCGAUGGCGAAGGCAGCCCCCUGGGAUAACACUGACGCUCAUGCACGAAAGCGUGGGGAGCAAACAGGAUUAGAUACCCUGGUAGUCCACGCCCUAAACGAUGUCUACUAGUUGUCGGGACUUAAUUGUCUUGGUAACGCAGCUAACGCGUGAAGUAGACCGCCUGGGGAAGUACGGUGCAAGNUUAAAACUUCAAAUUGAAUUGACCGGNNGNGAGNGCGAGACGACGACGAGGAGAGG